CCUACGGGAGACAGCAGUGAGGAAUAUUGGUCAAUGGGAGAGAUCCUGAACCAGCCAAGCCGCGUGAGGGAAGACGGCCCUAUGGGUUGUAAACCUCUUUUGUCGGAGAACAAAACCCGGGACGAGUCCCGGACUGCGUGUAGCCGAAGAAAAAGCAUCGGCUAACUCCGUGCCAGCAGCCGCGGUAAUACGGAGGAUGCGAGCGUUAUCCGGAUUUAUUGGGGUUAAAGGGUGCGUAGGCGGUCUGUAAAGUCAGCGGUAAAAUUGCGGGGCUCAACCCCGUCGCGCCGUUGAAACUGGCAGCCUUGCGUUGGCGAGACGUACGCGGACUGCGCGGUGUAGCGGU
rnacentral:rRNA from 1 species